rnacentral:rRNA from 1 species
GAUGAACGCUGGCGGCGUGCCUAAUACAUGCAAGUCGAGCGAACAGAUGAGGAGCUUGCUCCUCUGAUGUUAGCGGCGGACGGGUGAGUAACACGUGGAUAACCUACCUAUAAGACUGGGAUAACUUCGGGAAACCGGAGCUAAUACCGGAUAAUAUAUUGAACCGCAUGGUUCAAUAGUGAAAGACGGUUUUGCUGUCACUUAUAGAUGGAUCCGCGCCGCAUUAGCUAGUUGGUAAGGUAACGGCUUACCAAGGCAACGAUGCGUAGCCGACCUGAGAGGUGACUCGGCACACUGGAAACGGAGAACCGGCCCAGACCCCAACGGGAGGCAGCAGUAGGGAAUCUUCCGCAAUGGGCGAAAGCCUGACGGAGAAACGCCGCGUGAGUGAUGAAGGUUUUCGGAUCGUAAAACUUUGUUAUUAGGGAAGAAAAAAUGUGUAGUAACUAUGCACGUCUUGACGGUACCUAAUCAGAAAGCCACGGCUAACUACGUG